GCAACCGUGGAAUGCUUUUUUCACUUAAAUAUACAUCGUCUGAAAGUACCGAAUUUAUUUUCUGAUUUUUGGGCACGGAAAGCUUAGCUUUGGUCACGAGAUUUAUAAAGCGUAUAGAGGUUUCAGGGCAAAUUUUUUUUUAAAACCCAAAGCGGCGUGUUAGUUUCAGAGUCUCUCCCUAGUGACGUUUAACAGCCUCGCCACCAGCGCACACGGAGAAGUAAGAACAGAAGUUUCCCUAAAACACAAAAUGGGACAACUCAAACCAUGUCUUCGGUGGGUCAAACGAGUGGCCAUCGAGUGACCCGCGAGGUGGAGCAGAAAGUUGCCCUCGGAGAUGUGGAGAUGCGCAGAUGUGGUACCAGCUGUGGCUUUUGAGGGGCAUGAGGAAGGGUGGCACCUCCCUCCUGCGUGAUCGAGAGUCUGAUGACAUGGCAGGAUACAAGGAAGACACUGCAGCACACCAGGGAGAUUCAUAGCCGGCUGAAAAGCAUGACUGAAGAGGAAAGCGAACAUUGCUUGUGCAAUCCUUGCUGCUAAAAAAGAAUCUUUAAUAUGCACACUUAAAUAUUUGUGGCCCCGUGGAUCGUUUGCCAUUAAACUGACAGGAAUGUCCUGAAUGUUGCCACAUAGUCUUGAAAGCUGUUUGUUUUUACUUCAGAUCAAUGCAGCUGGAAACUUGUAAAUGGUUGCAGUAGGAUAACACACAGCCCUUUAUUGGAUCUGAACCCAAAAAAUGACUGCAAUUUAUUUUUUCUCAUCUGCUUUGGCAUGCUUUGGUAGGCCAUACCAUGAACUUACUCCAGUGCACCCCAGAUGAAAGAGUUGUAUAGACAGUCUGGCCUUCCAUGCUGCCCGAUGUCUCUUGUGCACUGUUGUCUUUUGGGCCACCACAACCUGCUUCCUUCCUGAGAGCCGGGCGCGGGCCUCAACAAUGGGCGGUGGUGUCUGGCACAGGGCUGCACCUCGCCAUUCACCCGGGUGGGGUAGCUGUACCUUCAGCAGCUUGAGUAUCUCCCUCCCCACACCGUUCUCCACUUGUUGCUCAUUGUUCAGCAUUUCACAUUUGCCAGCCUCAGCCGUAUCUCUCUCGUCACAGUCUACCUUCCCUGUUGCACAAACCCAUAAUAAAAACUCAGUUCUGUACGCACUGCGCUCUGUCAGCCAGUGACGUUGCUGAAGUGCUAUUAUAGACUUGGCAUGAAGUUCACACAAAAUAUAAUUCUGUUGUAAGAGUUAAAUGAGAUAUAUUGAAUC